UGCCCUCCUUUCCUUUCCCUCCAAUAUCCUUCCCCUUUUCCUCCUCCUCCUCUCCCUCCCCUUAGUUCACUGAUAAACACACACACACAGGGUUGCCAUCACUCAGUCCUCCACUACCUCACCCCCCCACUCCCCUCCCUUCUGUCACCCUUCCACCUCCCUCACUCCACUUCUCUAUCACCUCCACCAUUAUGUACAGUGAGGGACAAAAGUCGUGUCUUGAAACGUGAAAACCCAAGGCAAUGAGCGAACUGCCUGCUGCACACAACUUUCUACUCUAGCUCAUCCCUAUGCUAUCCAAAUCCCCUAUGCAAGAGUUAACCAGUAUCUUCAUUCUUUCAUCCAUUUUGCCGGUAAACUCUGAAAUGGCCUCCCUUCCUCUGUAUCUCCUCCUGCCUACGAUUUGAAUUCCGGAAUUGAUCUCUCUUGUGGCCAGUCUUUUCUGUUUGGUUUUAUAGACUAUCCAAAUCCCUUCUGCAAGAGUAAACCAGUAUCUUCAUUCUUUCAUCCAUCUUGCUGGUAAACUGAAAUGGCCUCCCUUCCUCUGUAUCUCCUCCUGCCUAUGACUUGAACUCUGGAAUUGAUCUCUCUUUUGGCCAGUCUUUUCUGCUUGGUUUUAUAGAAGUGCCGAGUUUUUUGUUUUCCUUUUUGUAUUUGUUCCUGAGCUCCUUCCUCUACUGUAAGAAAAAAUGUGGCAAGUCGUCUGUCAGUGGUAGAAUGGAAUUGAGUUAUCAUCUGUCCCUUAUCUUUGUUAAUUUCAGAGAUAUGACCACAUGAUUAGCCGGUUCUCUUAAGCCCGUAUUUUUAAUUGUAUCGGCACGUCAGUUCAUCUGAUUGAAAAGCCUCGUAGAAGUUUUUGGAAUUUCCAUGGACUGUUUUUUGACAUUGGUGAUAGUUUUAUGCGGCUUCUCUGCCAUGAACGGGAAAAUCACCCACGAGAACCUGGUUAAUCUUCUCGGUGGCCGUGGGAAAUGGUUAUAGUGGGAGCCAGAGACAUUUAGGAGUAUGGACGUUAGGUUUUCACUAUUUCAUGACACAACUUUUGUUCCUCAUUGUACACCCUGCCUGACCCUUCCACUGACCACCUCUCUCACUCCACCUCUUCACCCUGCCACCCCCACCCACCCACAACCUCACCCACCAACCACUAAACACUUGAAAAUGAGUCUGCUUGGAGUGUUUUCAAACUUCUCUUUCUCGUAUUUUUUUAGUGUUUCCAAAAUGUUGCGAUAAAUGUGUUGGAGCUUAAUUUUUGCUUGUGCUUUUUGGAGAUUUUUUUUUAAUCUUUUUUUAAAGUUUUUGUGAUUGUGAUUAUGAAAGAUGUGAUCCUCGGUAUUUGACAACUUAAUAUAACUUUGAGGUUUGCGAAGAAAGUCAAAACUAAAUUUAAACUAAAAUAGAAUCAGAUCUCGAAUUAGUGGAAUUUAACUUAUUGGGUCCAGUGUAGUGGAAUGCUGAUAUUUUCCACUUUUUCGGUCUUUCGUUAAUAUCUGUCUCGCUACUCCUGGUUGUAAUGGUAGUUAAUGUAAUGACAGUAACAAUGCUGAUAUUUUCCACUUUUUCAGUCUUUCGUUAAUAUCUGUCUCGCUACUCCUGGUUGUAAUGGUAGUUAAUGUAAUGACAGUAACAAUGCUGAUAUUUUCCACUUUUUCGGUCAUUCGUUAAUAUCUGUCUUGCUACUCCUGGUUGUAAUGGUAGUUAAUGUAAUGACAGUAACAAUGCUGAUAUUUUCCACUUUUUCAGUCAUUCGUUAAUAUCUGUCUCGCUACUCCUGGUUGUAAUGGUAGUUAAUGUAAUGACAGUAACAAGGCUCAGUGUAGCAGGACAAAUUAUUCUAAUAUUUCACAUUUGCUAACCUUAGACAGCAGCAGUAUUUGAAGAGUGGCUCCCCCAAAAUGAAUCGUCCAUAUAUAGUCAUUACCAACCUUAGGACCGUAGCAUAAAUAUAGUCACGCCGCAUAAGAGAUGUUUUAACCCGGUACCAGCGACGGGCCAAAUUUGUGGCUUUACCGCGUACCAGCGAUGGGCCAAAUUUGUGGCUUUACCGCGUACCAGCGACGGGCCAAAUUUGUGGCUUUACCGCGUACCAGCGACGGGCCAAAUUUGUGGCUUUACCACGUACCAGCGACGGACCAAAUUUUUACCAUGAUUUAAACUCCCAAAAAUAGAUGAUACAUAGACUGAUCACAAAUGCUUUGAUAUAUAUUAUGAAGUGGUUUGCAUGAGUGAUGAAUUUUUCUCAUUAAUUUGCUUAGAGGGGCCUAUAAGAAACAUGAUCCCCAAAGCUACCGGGUUAAGUAUCAUCUAUAUAGAGAUUCAACCACAAUCUGGAAGUGUUGUUAUAUUUCUGCCAUACAAAACUGACUGACUGAAUUUUGGACCGUUUGUAAAUAGUUUCACCGUCAUCUAAGGGUUAAUGUUUGUCUUGCUAAUGGUUUUAAUGUCGCUGAUGUAAUAAUAGUAAAAGAAAGGCUCCAGGCAGACUCAUGUUAGAAGUGUUGGCAGCAUUUGGCAUGUUAACACACCCACCUAACCUAGCACCCAAGUCAACCCCAACCAAGCAACCUAGCAACCAAAUUAACCCCAACCAAGCAACCUAGCACCCAGAUGAGCCCUAACCAAGCAACCUAGCACCCAGAUGAACACAACCCAGCAACCUAGCAACCAGAUCAACCCAAUCCAGCAACCUAGCACCCAGAUGAACACAACCCAGCAACCUAGCAACCAGAUCAACCCAACCCAGCAACCUAGCACCCAUGUCAACCCAACCCAACGAGCCUCCACCUGACUUACUUAACUUAUACUUGCUCACAAUGAACCUUUUGUAAAACCCCACGGGAUGGAUACCAAAAGUGUCUUAUAGAUAUAUUUUUUAGCGUGGACUGACCCUUCAUUUUGUGUGUGUGUGUGUGAGUGAGAGAGUGUGCGAGGGAGAGAGUGAAGUGACAUGAUUAAAAAGAAAUGCAAAAAAUGGUACAUGUGUGUUUGCUCGAGUGAAAUAAAUAAGACAAAUAAAAUACGAAAUAGAAACAAGAGGAAAAGGAAUAAAGAAACAAAGAUAAAUGGGAGAAAGGAAUAUGCAGCUCGUAAAAGAAGAAAAACUACAUUGUGUACUUAAGAAGAGGAAAAGAGAGAGAAUUGCAAAUAGAAAAAAAAGGAGAUAAUCAAGAAAAACAGACGAAUCAUCAUUGUAUGUGUUAGUUUGAUAUGUUGUGUUUUUUACUUUCUCCACGGUGAAUGUUCAGCAAGACUAACACACACACACACACACACACACAUACACACACACACACAUACACACAUAAAUGGAGGAAGAGUGACAAGCAAGUGGCUACCAACAAAACACACACACACACACACACACACACACACACACACACACAGAUCAGUGGAGGAAGAGUGACAAGCAAGUGGCUACCAACAAAACACACACACACACACACACACACACACACAGAUCAAUGGAGGAAGAGAAGGAGGGACAAACAGGUGGCUAGGAAGUGGAUGAAGAGGCGAAUGAACGAAACAGUGGAAAGAUGGAACGAUCGAGUGAGAUAAACAAGAUAUGGAGAUGGAAGAAUAAGUGGAUGGGAAGAUAGUGGAAAGGCGGAAAAAUGGAAGGAUUGAGUAAGAUAACGUAAUGGAGAUGGAAGAAUAAGGAGAUAAUGAAAAGAUGGAGAGACUUAUGAAGUAAGGUAGAUAAGAUAUGGAGAUGGAUAAAUGAGUGGAUGGGGAAGUGGAUAACGUGGAUGAGAGAUGAAUGGAUGGAUAGGUGGAACGGCCUCUACACCAGAUUUUUCAAACGCAUUGGUAUUUAUUAACAGAUACGUGGCUAGUUGUCCUUAAUUCCACUUUUGGGGCACAGAUAGUUAGGAGUGUUAUAUUUUCAUUGUUAAGUCGACAUAUUACAAACUAGCCAUAAGUGAUUGAUUUGGCAUUUUAAUUCAUUUUCUGGGACAGAGUUGGAAGUGUUGAUUUGUGUUUUUAAUUAAUUUUUUGAGACACAGAUAGACAGGAGUGUUGGAUUUUCAGAGUUAAGUUGACAUAUUACAAACCUAGCCAUAAGCAAUUGAUUUGGCAUUUUAAUUCAUUUUCUGGGACGGUGUUGGAAGAGUUAAAAGUGUUGAUUUGUCUUUUUAAUUCAUUUUUGGGACACAGAUAGUUAGUUGGAAGUGCUGGAUAUUCAGAGUUAAGUUGGCGUAUUACAAACCCAGUCAUGAUAAGUGAUUGGUUUGGCUUUUUAAUUAAUUUUCUGGGACGGAGUUGGAAGUGUCGAUUUGUCUUUUUAAUUCAUUUUCGGGACACAGAUAGGUAGUUGGAAGUGCUGGAUAUUCAGAGUUAAGUUGGCGUAUUACAAACCAAGUCAUGAUAAGUGAUUGAUUUGUCUUUUUAAUUCAUUUUUCAGGACACAGAUAGGUAGUUGGAAGUGCUGGAUAUUCAGAGUUAAGUUGGCGUAUUACAAACCAAGUCAUGAUAAGUGAUUGAUUUGGCUUUUUGAUUAAUUUUCGAGACACAGUUAGGAGUGUUGGAUAUUCAGAGUUACAUAAGUUGACACAUUACAAACCCAGUCAUGAUAAGUGAUUGAUUUGACUUUUCAUUUCAUUUUCUGGGACGGAGUUGGAAGCGUUGGAUAUUCAAAGUAAAGUUGACAUUACAAACUCGCUCAGAAAAAGUGAUAUAAAAAAAAAACCAACAAAGCCGCUAACCAUGCCUUGUAAAUCGGGUCGGAAAAGACAAAUCAACCACAGGACUUAAUGAAUACAAAUACGACUUUUAUCAGGUGUUAGUCAGGCAUAAGGGACGAGUUUAUACAAAGUUGAAUACGGGUGGACGGAUGGAUAGCAGGUGUAAGGGCCCCUCCUAGUCAGUAUGAGGGAGAGGUGAAUGUUGGUGGAUGGUUGACAGUGGUUGACUUUUCGUUUAUAUGCUUUCAGGGACAAGGCAUGGGCAGCUAUAUGGGGAAGGAAUAAAGAGAAUUAAUGUGGGCGGCUUAAUGAGAGUAGUGAAGAGAAGGAUGGGAGGGAAAGGUGUAAUGAGAGGGAGGAACGUAGUGAUGUGAGGAGGAUAAGUGAAGGAAAAAGAGGAAAGGAAAGGUGAGGAAACAAAAUAUUCGCUUGGUAAUGACUAUUGAUUUUAUUGAUGGUAGUGAUACAGUGGACAAACAGGACACACACACACACACACACACACAUUUCGUCACCUUCGUAAACAAACCGCCUAAGUCAUUAUUUUCUACUUUACGGGAAAUCAGAAAAGAACUGUCAUCACCUCAUUUGGCUUAAGAUUUAGGCAGAAACAAAAAGGCCAAUUCUAGAACACUCAAACCCUGAAUGACGAAGGCAACUGUACAGAAGCAAGCGUCACAUGAUGAAAAAUUGAUGUAGACAAAAACCUGGAAAUUGCUGAAAAUGACUUAGGCGAUUAUUUUGUGAGGGUGACCAUUUAUUUUAUGUUACCAUUGUUAUUUGUGAUUUUAUUGUAUAUAUUUAAUCUGCACACACACACACACACACACACACACACACACACACCAGACUGGGCAUUACAAACGGGACUUGCAAGCAAACAGUACACAUGAUCGGUGCUUUUAAUAGUUUCUUAAUGUGUGAAUAUAUAUUAGAAUAAUUUAUCCUAUUCCCACAUAUACAUGCACACAUCUAUGCUUGUCCUAAUUAUUUGAAGUAACGACCUUGCAAGGGAAUUUUAAGUGCCUCACCUUACGUUAUUGUUAUUAUUAUUAUAUUACAUGAAAGCAGAAUUGUGCCAUGAUUUGUAUUGUAAAUAUUGUACUUACUGUGUUCUUACGAGGGGUGGAGUGUGGGGGGCGGGGAGGAUUCUCUUCUACUCUGAAUAUUUCCCUUCCUCCCUGCCUCCUCCUCCCUGUUUAUGUGUAAUUCUUUUCCCUUUUUUAAGAUAAUUUUUAAGGUUCUGUAUGUAUACUUAUAUGUGUAUGUAAAAUGUUAGGAGGGUGCAGUGGGCAUACACACACACACACACACACACACACACACACACACACACACACACACACACACACACACACACACACACACAC